rnacentral:rRNA from 1 species
GACGAACGCUGGCGGCGUGCUUAACACAUGCAAGUCGAACGAAGUGGCGAACGGGUGAGUAACGCGUAAUCAACCUGCCCUUCAGAGGGGGACAACAGUUGGAAACGACUGCUAAUACCGCAUGCUGAAGGAGGGGAUUGCGUCUGAUUGGCUAGUUGGAGGGGUAACGGCCCACCAAGGCGAUGAUCAGUAGCCUGUCUGAGAUGAUGACCAGCCACAUUGGUACUGGUACACGGCCCAGACUCCUACGGUAGGCAGCAGGGGGGAAUCUGCCGCAAUGGACGAAAGUCUGACGGAGCAACGCCGCGUGAGUGAUGACGGCCUUCGGGUUGUAAAGCUCUGUUAAUCGGGACGCGGUACCGGAAUAGAAAGCCACGGCUAACUACGUGCCAGCCGCCGCGGUAAUAC